AAGCAUCAAGGGGUGAUUUAGAUCAUGUAAUCAACAUGGUUGGAUAUUGUUUUUUCACCCUUUAUACUUUAUCAGGGCAGUAGGUAAACAAAAAAAAAAGCAUACGUGGAUAGUUAUUGUGAGCGGUGAAAAUGUUAAAAAGUAGAUGGAGAAAAAAAGGAAGACAUAAACGCUAGGACACAAACUGCGUGACCAUGUCCACGUCAGCAAGUCUAUUUGUGAACGGUACGUAUUGGAUAGAUCAGGGAGUCAAGUGAACCAAAAAAAGGUUAAGAGGAUUAUGCGAACAUCCCAUUCAAUUUAGGGGAGUAGAUUAGACUUUUUUC
rnacentral:lncRNA from 1 species